rnacentral:lncRNA from 1 species
AUUGUGCUGUGGACUUUUCAAGUUAUUAGUUACGCAUCACCAACUUCGAGCUGAGUGCAUUUAUUUAUCGCUGAGCAAUGGUGUAAAUCUUAUAGAUUUGUUUUUUUUUUUUUUUGGAUUUAGAUAUUAAAUUUUGUUUUGGGGGUUUUCAUAAUUUUGGUGGAAUAUUAGGAUUCACCGUAGUGGGUUAUGUCUUGGUCUCAAUAAUGUAAUCCGACAUGUGAGUUUAUUAUGUCUGAAACUUUGCCAUUAUAGAGAAAUAUAGUGUGAGACUCUUUUGUAGAUGUUAUGAAAAUUCUUAUGAUUGUUUGUUCGAUAGAUUUUUGCAGAUCAUCAUCAUUCUUGAGAUUUAUGGUUUGAAGAACAUUGUUGAAAUUCUUUU